rnacentral:rRNA from 1 species
CAGUCGCCGCGGGAAUACGAAGGGGGCUAGCGUUGCUCGGAAUGACUGGGCGUAAAGGGCGCGUAGGCGGUUUGUACAGUUGGGUGUGAAAUUCCUGGGCUUAACCUGGGGGCUGCACCCAACACGUGCAGGCUUGAGUGUGGAAGAGGGUCGUGGAAUUCCCAGUGUAGAGGUGAAAUUCGUAGAUAUUGGGAAGAACACCGGUGGCGAAGGCGGCAACCUGGUCCUUGACUGACGCUGAGGCGCGAAAGCGUGGGGAGCAAACAGGAUUAGAUACCCCUGUAGUCCCUGUCUCUUAUAA